GUGCUCAUGUUUACAACCCGUACUGACAAAACAGUACAGAGAUUAGCAUGACCCAUGUACAAGGAUGACACAAAAAAUUCAAUAAGCUUCUAUAUUGUU
ensembl:snRNA Gm25920 predicted gene, 25920